AAAAAAUUCCAGAGGACACGCCCAUAAUUUUAAACUGCCCGGGAUCUUCAUGGUGGAAAGAGCGGUCUUUUACAGAUGGGGAACUUUUUAAUGGACAGAGGAAGGCUGUGAGGACAAAGGCAGAGUGCAAAACCCUGUUUUGUGAAUUCCAUAGCAGCCCUAUUGGAGGCCACAGCGGGAUUUUUAAAACAAGAAAUGCUUUGUCCAGUCGAUUCUACUGGCCAGGAAUCUCUACUGACAUUGAGAAAUGGGUCAGUGAAUGUGAUCAGUGCCAAAGGGUUGGAAAACCACUUGUGACUGAUGCUAAACUGGAAAGUAUUAAGG